GCCUACGGGUGGCAGCAGUGGGGAAUAUUGGACAAUGGGCGAAAGCCUGAUCCAGCCAUGCCGCGUGUGUGAAGAAGGCCUUCGGGUUGUAAAGCACUUUCAGUGGGGAAGAAAGCCUUGGGGCUAAUACCCUCGAGGAAGGACAUCACCCACAGAAGAAGCACCGGCUAACUCCGUGCCAGCAGCCGCGGUAAUACGGAGGGUGCGAGCGUUAAUCGGAAUUACUGGGCGUAAAGCGCGCGUAGGCGGUCUGAUAAGCCGGUUGUGAAAGCCCCGGGCUCAACCUGGGAACGGCAUCCGGAACUGUCAGGCUAGAGUGCAGGAGAGGAAGGUAGAAUUCCCGGUGUAGCGGUGAAAUGCGUAGAGAUCGGGAGGAAUACCAGUGGCGAAGGCGGCCUUCUGGACUGACACUGACGCUGAGGUGCGAAAGCGUGGGUAGCAAACAGGAUUAGAUACCCCAGUAGUC
rnacentral:rRNA from 1 species